rnacentral:rRNA from 1 species
CCUACGGGAGGCAGCAGUGAGGAAUUUUGGACAAUGGGCGCAAGCCUGGUCCAGCCAUGCCGCGUGGGUGAUGAAGGCCCUAGGGUUGUAAAGCCCUUUCGGCGGGGAAGAUAAUGACGGUACCCGCAGAAGAAGCCCCGGCUAACUUCGUGCCAGCAGCCGCGGUAAU